rnacentral:rRNA from 1 species
GCACAGGUGCUGCAUGGCUGUCGUCAGCUCGUGUCGUGAGAUGUUGGGUUAAGUCCCGCAACGAGCGCAACCCUUGUCACUAGUUGCUACGAAAGGGCACUCUAGUGAGACCGCCGGUGACAAACCGGAGGAAGGUGGGGAUGACGUCAAGUCCUCAUGGCCCUUAUGGGUAGGGCUUCACACGUCAUACAAUGGCCGGUACAGAGGGUUGCCAACCCGCGAGGGGGAGCCAAUCCCAGAAAACCGGUCGUAGUCCGGAUUGCAGUCUGCAACUCGACUGCAUGAAGUCGGAAUCGCUAGUAAUCGCGGAUCAGCAUGUCGCGGUGAAUACGUUCCCGGGUCUUGUACACACCGCCCGUCACACCAUGGGAGUGGGUUUCACCAGAAGCCGUUUGCCUAACCGCAAGGAGGGCGGCGACCACGGUGAGAUUCAUGACUGGGGUGAAGUCGUAACAAGGUA